CCUACGGGUGGCAGCAGUGGGGAAUAUUGGACAAUGGGGGGAACCCUGAUCCAGCCAUGCCGCGUGUGUGAAGAAGGCCCUCGGGUUGUAAAGCACUUUCAGUGAGGAAGAACGCCUGGUGGUUAAUACCCAUCAGGAAAGACAUCACUCACAGAAGAAGCACCGGCUAACUCCGUGCCAGCAGCCGCGGUAAUACGGAGGGUGCGAGCGUUAAUCGGAAUUACUGGGCGUAAAGCGCGCGUAGGUGGCUUGAUAAGCCGGUUGUGAAAGCCCCGGGCUCAACCUGGGAACGGCAUCCGGAACUGUCAAGCUAGAGUGCAGGAGAGGAAAGUAGAAUUCCCGGUGUAGCGGUGAAAUGCGUAGAGAUCGGGAGGAAUACCAGUGGCGAAGGCGGCCUUCUGGACUGACACUGACACUGAGGUGCGAAAGCGUGGGUAGCAAACAGGAUUAGAUACCCUGGUAGUC
rnacentral:rRNA from 1 species